ensembl:lncRNA
AACGCGUUCUGGAAAACCAAAACGUGUUCUGGGCACGCGUGCUGGCGUUUCAGAACGCGUUUAAUUGAAGUCGAAUUGUGGCACACUCGGCUUGCCAUAGGGCCAGGGCCUGCAGCGAGGUCAAUUCUGGGAGCUCAGUGAGGCAGGCAGCGUUGGCCAACAACAUUAACCAUGUGACGUUGUCACGCUACCUCAAGCGGAGGGCAGUGAAGCGGCUAGGUCCCCUGGCUAUAACCCACACAAUAGGGUUUUUAACGCAGCGCAGGAGGGAAAGGUCAGAAAAUUUGCCUUUGAGCUGGCAGUGCACUUCAGCUGCCCAUUCCCUGCAUCCUGGUCGAGGAAGAGCAUGGCGGGGAAGGACUGGUUCACCUCCUUCAUGGAGCGCAGUGGCAGCCUCUCCCUUCGGCGUCCAGAGGCCACUAGCCAACAACGGUUGUCCAGCUUCAACCAAACAAAUGUAAACUUGUUCCACCAAAAUUUAAAGACGGUGCUGGACCGGCACCAGUUCCAGGCCAAGGACAUUUGGAACAUUGAUGAAACCGGUAUUUAAUGUGAACUUUAUUAACAAAAAACACAACUAUAUACACACAACUAUGUAUAUAUAUUAGGCCUGCAGCGGAUUCGAAUUGUAUCCGAAUCCGUUCGGUUCGUUUACCACAGUUCGGAGCAUUCUGGAGAUCCGCGGAUUUCGGUUUCAUGAAGGCAUUGCCUUAUGUAGCGUAUUUUGCCUACUGUAGCCUACGUCCGAUACAAAAGGGUGUUUAGGACCCAGCGGAAUGCAUUCUCUCCAGUGCUGCCCGAGCCAAUGAGACUUUUCCCGCCCCUCCCUUCAGCCUGUCAGCGUUCAAAACAAACUGGGCUUUAAACGAUUCCUAAAUUUAAAGAAAGUAAUUGAUACAAUUAUAUUCUAAAUAUACGGGAGAUAAAUACAAACGCGUGAUAAGCGGGAUAACGGCCUUCGAGGUCGACCGGUUCGAUGGAAAUAAUGGACAGGUAGAGGCAACUCUGGCUUCAUGCUGCGCUCGUCGCCAGAGUUCUAAGCCUCGUCGGCCGUUAUCCCUUACAUGUUACACUCAGUGCACCAUGUUUUCAAAUGCAUUUAGGGGAACAUUUAUUGUACAAAAAAGCCUUGCAAGUUGUCUGAUUGCAGACAAUUAACACAUUGCAAAUAGCCUGUGGGUCUCAUUCAUUUUUGUGUUUCUCCCCCAAACCCUCCGUCAAAAAAAAGUCCGCCUUUUUACUAUCACGGACACGAUCCUAAUCCAAACCGUAUCCGAAACCGAGGCCCAAAACGGUUAUCUGAACCGAACCGUGGACACACUGAUCCGUUUCACCACUAAUAUAUAUACACAACUAUACUCACACAACUAUUUACAGGGGUCACCACUGUCCAGGUGCCAGACCGUGUCGUCACCCAGAUGGGGCAGAAGCAGGUCGGGUCAGUGACCUCAGCAGAGAGGGGGACCCUGGUCACAGUUGCCCUGGCAGGCAAUGCGCAGGGCGACCUUGUUCCGCCAUUCUUCAUCUUCCCCCGUAAGCGGUUCAAAGACCACUUCCUGGACCCGUUGGCUGUGCUGGCAGCGGCAACCCAACUGGCUGGAUGAAGGAGCCAGACUUCCUCCUGUACCUGGCCCACUUGACCAGGCACACCCGUGUGUCCAAGGAGUCGAAGCUGCUCCUCCUGCUGGACAAUCACCCGUCCCACCUGUCAAUUGCAGCAAUUGAUUACUGCAGAGCCAAUGGCAUAGUGCUGCUGUCAUUCCCUCCCCACUGCACCCACAGGUUGCAGCCAAUGGACAUUAGUGUCUUCGGCCCCCUAAAGGGGUACGUAAACAGUGCGGCGGACAGGUGGAUGAGGAGACACCCAGGGAUAAACAUCUCAAUUUAUGAUGUGCCCUCCAUCGUUGCUGAAGCCUUACCAAAGGCUGCGACAGUGAACAACAUUACCUCCGGGUUCUCAAGUCCAGGGAUCUGGCCUUUUAACCCCUCUGCGUUUGAGGAAAAGGACUUCGCCGGAGCCUAUUCCACAGACCGUCCUCCUCCCCAGGCUUCGGGUGACGAGGUCAGCGCUUCUCCAGGUGCCACUUCAGGCAUGGAUGUACCUGAUCGAGCUGCCGGGCCUGACGAAGCUGUCCGGCCUGAGGGAGAGGCUGUUAAGUUCAGCCUGGACAUCGUCCGGCCUUACCCUAAGGCCGGACCUAGAAAGAUCACAAAGAGAAGAGGGAGAAAGAGGCAAGUGGAGUUACUCUUGCAUCUCAUAUCUUGUCUGGACUUCCUUUGUCUACAGUCAUGUAGACCUACCACAUUUAAAGUAAUUCAAUUAUCAUUAAAACGUCCAAUUUAAUGUUUUCAGGACAACUGCUAUACUUACGGACACCCCGGUGAGGGCUGCUUUAGACAGGGUUCGUACGGUCAUGAAAAACCUGGAAAAGUCAUGGAAUUUUAAAAUGGUUAUUUCCAGGCCUAGAAAAGUGCUUGAAAAAAAAUAAAGUCCCAAAAGUUUUGGAAAAGUCAUGGAAUUUUUUUUUAUUCAUAUUUUCUUGUCGUUCAUUUACGCUGAGUUUUAAAUCAUGAAUAUGCCUUUAAAUGAAAUACGCUCAAAGUAUAAACAGGCACGCGCUGAAACUAAAACAUACGCAACUGAAACGUUUGUUGGCCAUAGCAACAGUAUCUGAGGGAAGCCAAAAUUAUUCAAAAUGCCAGGGAAGUGUAGGUUCAACAAUGCUUGGUUGCGAAAUGAGAAAUAUAUGUCAUGGGUUUCAUCCGACAAAGACCCGGGCCGAGCUAAAUGUAGGUUAUGUGGUGACAAAACGUUUGACAUAUCUAACAUGGGAGAGGCGGCAUUAACGAGCCAUGCGAAAGGCGCUAAACACCACAGCCAGGGCAACUGCUACGGCAAACAGCACGUCUCUCUCUUUGGUCUACUGCGGAGGUAAUGUGGGCACUGAAGGUGGCUAAUUCGCAUUAUUCGUUUAAGUCAUCUGAAGAUGCUAGCCUGCUCUUUCAAAGAAUGUUCCCCGAUAGCCAGAUAGCAACACAGUUUGCUUGUGGCGAAAGCAAAUGCUCGUUCCUCUGCUCUUUCGGUCUCGCUCCCCACUUCAGGAGUCUGACGUUGUCCAACGUAAUGAAGCAAAGGGCAUACGUCAUUCUCUUCGACGAAAGCCUGAAUAGUUAUUUACAGUCCAAACAGAUGGAUUUACAUGUGAGGCUAUGGGAUGGCGCCGAUGUUAAGACAAAAUACAUUGUGUUUUAUAAAGCUGUUUAAAUGUGAAAUUGUUUUGGUUGAUUAAUGGUCAAAGAGUUAGUUGCCAACUGUUCUGUUACAUUUUGCACUAGAAAAGGGAAAUCAAUGUUUGCACUAGCUGGAUGCUUCUGCAUACUAAAGCUCUUAUUGAUGUCAGUGCUGUGAAUGCAACCAGUAUAUUUAUAAAUGUUCAUUCUUUAAAUCAAACUAUUGUCUCUCAAUUUUGUGUCAUUUAAUGUAUACAGUAUGCCUCCGAAUUCCCAUUGUUAGUUUUAAUACUACAUUUUAUCACUUUUGCACGUUAACACCGAGAUUUCACAAAAUGUUUGGUCAUGGAAAUUUGGUUUACAGUCAUGGAAAAGUCAUGGAAAAGUCAUGGAAAUCCAUUGGUCCAAAAGUGUAUGAACCCUGUUUAGAGGCGGAAAAGCAGGGAACUGGGAAGCAGCGUCGUCCCGCCAAGCAGCCUCCCUCCUCUCGGGCUCCCAAGAAGAGGCUGUUCUCGCCCGCUCCUGAUGCCGGAGUUGCUGGAGUUGCCACCUCAGCUGCUCCUCCCACCAUAACCUGGCCCGCUGAUGGAGUCAGCCCCACCUUAGGCCUAGUUUGUCCUGUUCCGGAGGCAGCAGAGUUCACCACCAUUGCUGCCUCCACUUCUCCAAUUUAUUUAGGCCUAUCCAGCGAGGACGUCAGCUGCCUCGUGUGCUCCGAGCUCUUCAGCGCCUCGAUGCCUGGGGAAGAGUGGGUCCAGUGUGUCUUUUGUUAUAAGUGGUCGCAUGAGGCUUGCACCGACGGGAGUGCACACUACCUGUGUCACCUGUGUGACAAAGAAUACAAAUAUUCAGCCUACUAUACUGUCCAUGUGUCUGCACUAGUUUGCAGUGGAAAUACUGUAAAUGUAGGCCUACAGCACAAUUCACUUAACAUUCUAGACUGAUUAACUAACUAACUAUUAGGCCUGGGUUAGGCUAUGAGUGGGAGCUGGGCUAUUAAAUAUUUCGCUGGGUAGGCCUACUUUUCGUCCAUGAUUGUAACGCAUCCAAAAUAACAACGGCUACAUUAAAU